GGUAAUGAUUCAUAAUUAUCUUUAUUAAGAAUUUCUUCUUGAGCAAACCUGUUUAUCCUAUUCUUGUUAAUAUGACCUAGCGUACAAUGCCAAAGAUAGGCAUCCGUGACAUCAUCUAUUCUAGGAUAUUUAUUUGAAAUGUACUUUACAUUAGGCUUAGAUACAACAUAUAUACUGUUGGGUAUAAAAUACGCCCCAGUCGAAGUUUGUGAUGGGAGUGACCCUCCGGGGACCCAACUGACUUUCGACCUCUGGCAACAUCUCUUCAAACCUCCCGGGCGGCCGAGCCUCCGCCACAUUCCCAAGUUUUGCCGACGGACAGGACCCCGCCAGCG
rnacentral:lncRNA from 1 species